UACGUAGGGUGCAAGCGUUGUCCGGAAUUAUUGGGCGUAAAGGGCUCGUAGGCGGUUUGUCGCGUCGGGAGUGAAAACACUGGGCUUAACUCAGUGCCUGCUUUCGAUACGGGCAGACUAGAGGCAUGCAGGGGAGAACGGAAUUCCUGGUGUAGCGGUGAAAUGCGCAGAUAUCAGGAGGAACACCGGUGGCGAAGGCGGUUCUCUGGGCAUGUCCUGACGCUGAGGAGCGAAAGUGUGGGGAGCGAACAGG
rnacentral:rRNA from 1 species